UACGUAGGGGGCUAGCGUUGUCCGGAAUCAUUGGGCGUAAAGCGCGUGUAGGCGGUCCGGUAAGUCCGCUGUGAAAGUCGGGGGCUCAACCCUCGAAUGCCGGUGGAUACUGUCGGGCUAGAGUGCGGAAGAGGCGAGUGGAAUUCCUGGUGUAGCGGUGAAAUGCGCAGAUAUCAGGAGGAACACCAAUGGCGAAGGCAGCUCGCUAAAGUGUAACUGACGCUGAGGCACGAAAGCGUGGGGAUCAAACAGG
rnacentral:rRNA from 1 species